rnacentral:rRNA from 1 species
CCUACGGGAGGCAGCAGUGAGGAAUAUUGGUCAAUGGGCGCAAGCCUGAACCAGCCAUGCCGCGUGAAGGAUGAAGGCCUUUGGGUUGUAAACUUCUUUUAUGAGGGAAGCGGUACCUUAGGAAUAAGCACCGGCUAACUCCGUGCCAGCAGCCGCGGUAAUACGGAGGGUGCAAGCGUUAUCCGGAUUUACUGGGUUUAAAGGGUGUGUAGGCGGGCUAUUAAGUCAGCGGUGAAAUCUCCAGGCUCAACCUGGAAACUGCCAUUGAUACUAUUAGUCUUGAAUUUUGUUGAGGUUGGCGGAAUAUAUCAUGUAGCGGUGAAAUGCAUAGAUAUGAUAUAGAACACCGAUUGCGAAGGCAGCUAACUAAACAAAAUUGACGCUGAGGCACGAAAGCGUGGGGAUCAAACAGGAUUAGAUACCCUUGUAGUC